AGUUGGUGAGGUAAAGGCUCACCAAGCCGACGAUCUGUAGCUGGUCUGAGAGGACGACCAGCCACACUGGGACUGAGACACGGCCCCAGACUCCUACGGGAGGCAGCAGUGGGGAAUUUUUGGACAAUGGGGCGCAAGCCUGAUCCAGCAAUGCCGCGUGCAGGAUGAAGGCCUUCGGGUUGUAAACUGCUUUUGUACGGAACGAAACGGUGAGCUCUAAUACAGUUUGCUAAUGACGGUACCGUAAGAAUAAGCACCGGCUAACUACGUG
rnacentral:rRNA from 1 species